rnacentral:lncRNA from 1 species
GCCCCUUUCUUCUUGAUCUUUUUUCCUUUUUUGAAAUGUGAUUGCACUGUUAUAACAUUUUAAAUCAUUUCCAAUGCAUAGAAAAUGGUUGCUAUUUUGUUGUGUUUUCUUACAACUUCCACUGAUUUAGAAUACUACUUUUUAUUAUCAUUUGUGUAUCAUGUACUCUCCUCCAUUUGUCUACCUAGACUUGUACUUAUAUACAUGAUUCUGAUAAUCAUAACUUUAAAAUAUGCCACAAUGUCUGGUAAGGCAAGGAACAACUAAUCUUGUACGAGCUAGCAUUCAACAGAGGAGGAGAAACAAAAGGAGAUACGUGAAAUAGUGUCCUUUAAUCCACCAUUCCUCUUUCCAUGGUAGCUACUCAUGCUCACAGUGAUCUGAAUAAAAUAAAUGAAAAAUUCCACAAAUCAACAAUUUGUAAAUUUUAAUUGCAUGCUGAUCUGAGUAGUAUGACAAAAUCUCCCACCAUUGUGCUCUGUCCUUCCCAGGACAUAAUCAUUCCUUUGUCCAAUGUAAUCCUCUCUGUAUACCCUACCCUCCCGUUAGUCAUUCAGUAGCCAGCUCAGUUAUCAGAAUGACUGGUCUGGAAUCACAGUAUCACAAUCCUUGUGUUCAAGUAACCCCAUUUUAAUUGGUAAUAGCCCCCAAGCAUAGGAGUAGUAAUGUUGGCAGUUCAGAUAUACCAAAGAGAGGAUGUAAACUGCUUCCUGUAAAAGAAAAAGUGAAAGUUCUCAAUUUAAU